AACAUUACUUAAACGGCACUCGAUUUCUUCAAUAAAACGAGAUGUUUUCGCGCUGUGCGAAGAAUACUUAUAACCCGUUGCUGGGCGCCUGACUUUGAGAUGUCGUUUAGACUUUUCUGAAAGGUUGGGAAUCAGCUGAGGCUACAUUC
rnacentral:snoRNA from 1 species